GUGAAUCAUCGAAUCUUUGAACGCAAAUUGCGCCUUUUUCGGAAGGCAUGUCUGUUUGAGGGCACCGUUUAACAAAUAAUGUGCAUUUUUGUGUGCACACGGUUAUGGGCUUUGCAAAAUUAUGUAUUAUUUUUGUUGGCGCAUAAUAAACAUCGCGAUGCUUUUUUUGAGUUCGGGUGUAGUAAAAUUUUUUCUUGCUUGUGUUGUGAAAAAGCGUGGUUGCGCUAUGUGU
rnacentral:misc_RNA from 1 species